rnacentral:rRNA from 1 species
AGAGUUUGAUCCUGGCUCAGAUUGAACGCUGGCGGCAUGCCUAACACAUGCAAGUCGCACGCGAAAGGGGGCAACCCUGAGUAGAGUGGCGGACGGGUGAGUAACGCGUAGGAAUCUACCUGGUAGUGGGGGACAACCCGGUGAAAACCGGGCUAAUACCGCAUACGAUCCACGGAUGAAAGCAGGGGACCGCAAGGCCUUGCGCUAUCAGAUGAGCCUGCGUCGGAUUAGCUAGUUGGUGAGGUAACGGCUCACCAAGGCGACGAUCCGUAGCUGGUUUGAGAGAACGACCAGCCACACUGGGACUGAGACACGGCCCAGACUCCUACGGGAGGCAGCAGUGGGGAAUAUUGGACAAUAGGGGCAACCCUGAUCCAGCAAUGCCGCGUGUGUGAAGAAGGCCUUCGGGUUGUAAAGCACUUUCGGUGGGGACAAACAAGGCGGAGCUAACAUCUCCGUCCCUGAUGUACCCAAAG